rnacentral:rRNA from 1 species
GAUGAACGCUGGCGGCGUGCCUAAUACAUGCAAGUCGAGCGAACAGACGAGGAGCUUGCUCCUCUGACGUUAGCGGCGGACGGGUGAGUAACACGUGGAUAACCUACCUAUCAGACUGGGAUAACUUCGGGAAACCGGAGCUAAUACCGGAUAAUAUAUUGAACCGCAUGGUUCAAUAGUGAAAGACGGUUUUGCUGUCACUUAUCGAUGGAUCCGCGCCGCAUUAGCUAGUUGGUAAGGUAACGGCGUACCAAGGCAACGAUGCGUAGCCGACCUGCGAGGGUGAUCGGCCACACGGGAGCUGGGACACGGACCAGACUCCUGCGGGAGGCAGCAGUAGGGAAUCGUCCGCAACGGGCGAGAGCCUGACGGAGCAACGCCGCGUGAGUGAUGAAGGUCUUCGGAUCGUAAAACUCUGUUAUGAGGGAAGAACAAAUGUGUAAGUAACUAUGCACGUCUUGACGGUACCUAGUCAGAAAGCCACGGCUAACUACGUG